CCUACGGGAGGCUGCAGUGGGGAAUAUUGGACAAUGGGGGCAACCCUGAUCCAGCCAUGCCGCGUGUGUGAAGAAGGCCCUCGGGUUGUAAAGCACUUUCAGUGAGGAAGAACGCCUGGUGGUUAAUACCCAUCAGGAAAGACAUCACUCACAGAAGAAGCACCGGCUAACUCCGUGCCAGCAGCCGCGGUAAUACGGAGGGUGCGAGCGUUAAUCGGAAUUACUGGGCGUAAAGCGCGCGUAGGUGGCUGGAUAAGCCGGUUGUGAAAGCCCCGGGCUCAACCUGGGAACGGCAUCCGGAACUGUCAAGCUAGAGUGCAGGAGAGGAAGGUAGAAUUCCCGGUGUAGCGGUGAAAUGCGUAGAGAUCGGGAGGAAUACCAGUGGCGAAGGCGGCCUUCUGGACUGAAACUGACACUGAGGUGCGAAAGCGUGGGUAGCAAACAGGAUUAGAUACCCUUGUAGUC
rnacentral:rRNA from 1 species